GGGAUAUUGAAUUGGAUGGAUGUGUAGUUCACCUAAUAAGCUGUCCGUGCAUUGGGAUUAGGGCAGGAACUCUAAAUGGGCUCCGAUACACCAUGGUCAACCGCUGAAGGUCACAUAUACAAGUCUGAAGUGUGGAUCGUCAUCACAGCCAUUGCUGUGAAUACAAAGAUAAGUGAUAUCAUUUUUAAAGGUCAAAGCUGACGUUAGACAGGUAUGCUUAAAGAGAUAAUUGUGAUGUGCGAUUGUUGUUGAAUUCCUUUUGUAAGCAUUACUGCUGUUGGUUUGCAGACAUACAACACUGUCCAUUCGACUUGAUUUAUAGAGCUAGGACGUUUUAACAUCGUUGACGCUCAAACUCGGGCAAGGCUCCUCAGUUUACAGCGAGGGACACACCUUUUUUGCCCGCAAGCGUAAACACACUGACGUGGGUCGAUGGUGCGUAAGCGAGUCCGAGUCAGCGUUAACAGUGUUAACACGCCUAAGCUCUGAAAAUCAAGUCUAAUCGAUAGCGUGUUCGUUCUGUUUUCUAACAGCAAUACUGUUUACCAAAGGCAGUAACUAAGGUCUUGCAUCAUUUUAUCUCUGUUUUCAUUGCAGCAGUAUAACGUUCAAUGGACGUAUCCUACUUUUCUAUAUAUGCUAAUACGUGUUUAUUUUAUUUAUCUGUUUACUUCUUUUAUUGGUUACUCAUGUAUGUUUUUGUUAAGCUGUACACUUGACAUAAUAUUGUUAUCGGCAGAAACAUGUAAAUAAUGUAAACACGUAAAGACCACAAAUAAUAUUGGGAGAACUUUAAAUCCUGCCCUUUUUCGUGUGAAUGGAUUCGAUAUAAAGCUGUGAUAUGUAUAUGUCAUUUAUACAUCAUUUAAAGGUAGUUGCAAUAAUCCAACUCCCAGCUAUUGACCCUCCGGGUAUGAGCUCCGGGUAUGAGCUGUACGUAUGUACUCAUAAAAGCUCAGAGCAUUCAAGAAGAACUACCUUUAAAGGGGCCUUUUCGCAGAUUUUGGCAUGUUUUGAAGUUUGUCAUUAAAUGCUUUGUAUUGAUAAAUGUAAACAUUAAAUUUUAAAAGCUCCAGUAAAAAAAUCAUAGAUAAAAUUUAAAAAAGGAAAAAAAAAGUAGCCCGCAGUAGGGCUCGAACCAGUGACCCCCGGAAUCCUGAAGUAAAAGCGCAUUAGCCAACUGAGCUAUCCUGCCAAGCAUGCAUAAUAUGCGUAUUUUAUACGUUAUAUAAGCAAUCUUCGUAGUUUCACAAAUUUAAACGACAACAACAGAACUCUCCAAAUUAUUCAAUCGUUUCGCGUCGCAACGCUUUAUAAUUUUUAGGUUUUUAAAUCGUCAAAAGAUGCAUAUAAUGGCUAUAUUAGACCAUGGCAAAUGUUCAGAAAUACUGUUUCCUCACAAAUAUCAUAACUAAACCGAAAAUUUGCGAAUCUGAAACAACUUUUUUUAAUUUUGUCAAUUUACCAAACCGUGAAAAGAUCCCUUUAAUGGGCAUAUUACCAGCAAAUGCAGUAUCAAGUUUUCAAAUGAUCUUUUAGUUGGCAUUUAUCUUAAGUAAUUGAUUAAAUCAUAUAUCUCGUUUUAUAUUUAUGAAAAACAUAUUUACUUUCAUAAUAGUUAAACUUCGUUCACCCUGACACUUUGUGGCAGUGGGAAAUAUAUUGUUGGUAUUGUUCAUGUAUUAAGUAGAGAGAAUACAUUAAUGGUUUUGCGCGUAAAAUGCACGCGUUUCUAGUUUUUGCAUGUAUAUAUACAUAUGAGGUGUAAAUAGAUUGAUCUGUUUUUCAAUGUGUGCAUUCGGUAGGGGUUACAUAUGGAAAAGGAAGAAAAAGCGCUAAUUGUUGAUUUCAAUAAAGUAGCGUUUAAUUUAUUUUAGGUCAGUUUUCAGUUCGUGUCAGAUGGGACCCUUACACGAUCCGGUUCCACUGCUCAAGAAGUAUGGCGCAACGUUUACGGAUGCCAUGAAGAUUCCUAAAUUUAGCCGUUCCGUGUAGGCUGAACAUCGUUGCAUAUUAAAGAAAUUGUAGCGAC